rnacentral:rRNA from 1 species
CGUGGGUAACCUGCCCAAGAGAUCGGGAUAACACCUGGAAACAGAUGCUAAUACCGGAUAACAACAGAUGAUGCCUAUCAACUGUUUAAAAGAUGGUUCUGCUAUCACUCUUGGAUGGACCUGCGGUGCAUUAGCUAGUUGGUAGGGUAACGGCCUACCAAGGCGAUGAUGCAUAGCCGAGUUGAGAGACUGAUCGGCCACAUUGGGACUGAGACACGGCCCAAACUCCGUACGGGAGGCAGCAGGG